ensembl:lncRNA
CUUAUGACAUCGCAGCUAUUGCACAGUUACAAUGCAGGUUCAAAUGUUGCAACUGAAACAUAUUCUUGACAGCAACAAGCAGAUACACACACAGCUGAAGUAGGACAUUUUCAUAGAGCAGUUUCUUUGAAAAAAGGUGAGUUUCGGAGGAACCUCUUUAUAAGUUACACUUAAUUUUGAUGCUGUACCUUUGAAAGCUGAUAGUAGAUAUUUACAGUGAGAUUUUUGAGUGUGCCCUACAGUUGAGGUGGGAAAUAUACUGUUUAACUUGAAUAACUUAUUUCUUUGUGGUAUCUUUAAAGCUCAGAUGACGGAACAAGGAGAUGGGGCCCAUGCUCAGCCUAAUGAGGGGCAACCACUUUUUGCUGAAGGUGGUAACUGGGAAGAUAUGGACGACUUCUUUGAAAAUGGUGUGGAACACGUUAUAAUGUUUGCACCACAAAUCUUUGAAGUUGCGAGACUUUGGGAGCUAGAGCAGCUUAACAACAAUGGUGAUCACAUCAAUCAGAACAAUUUCUUCAACAUUCAUUUUGAAAUUGAUGACAGCAACUCUGAUGAUGGAAAUGAUGACAACAAUGCUGAUGAUGAAAAUGACCACAGUAACAGCGAUAUUGAACAUGACCACAAUUAUGGCAAUUAUAAUUUUGCCGAUGAUAAUCAAAAUGCUGACAGCAGCAACAAUGAAGAAGAACGCAAUGAAGGUCAUCAAGAUGAAAAUGACCUUGCUGCUGCUGAGGUUGACUAUGACGUCAACCCGGAUGCAGGAGAAUCAGAGGAGGAUCUGCUUCCUGGAGGAUUUAGGAGACAGUUUAGAGAGGAAGACAGUGACGAUGAGAAAAGUCAUGCCAGUGAAACUUUCCACUGGUGGGAUGAAUUUGCUGACAGCGCCUCUGAAGAACAAGACUCACUACUUGAAGGCAAUAAAGAAAGUGAUGAGAGUGAUGAAGACGAGAGGUGAAUCUAAAUAGUGACAUGCCAACCGUCACUCACAGUGACUGAAUGGAACCUCUUUAAUAAAAAUGCAU